UUUCCCAUAAUUCAAUGCGGCUCAGAAGUUAAAAGCUGAACCGGAAGCUCUCUUUCUCACAGUAUGAAUGAUCUGCGUGGGUGCUGUGUGAGAGUAUGGUGAAUGCUUGUUUGAGCGAAUGUGCGGUGUUUGAGUGUGAAUGUUUCUUUAAACCUACACAGUGAUCUUAUUUGAUCUGAUCUGAGUCUGGCUCUGCUCCGAUCAGAGGUGAUAAGAAAAUUGCUCUCGAGCCUCGGUGGCGGUGAGAAGCCGGCAGGAUGUUUACCUUCAGGGCCUCCACGCUUCGUGCUGUGGUCAGAGGUGAUGAAUUGAUCAGAUAUACUAGUUCUGGCUGAGCUUGGGUCAAUCUCAAGCUUCACAAUGGACUCUGAGUAUAGAGGCGAUUCUGAUCUUA